ACAUGCAAGUCGAGCGGAUGAAGGGAGCUUGCUCCUGGAUUCAGCGGCGGACGGGUGAGUAAUAGCCUAGGAAUCUGCCUGGUAGUGGGGGAUAACGUCCGGAAACGGGCGCUAAUACCGCAUACGUCCUGAGGGAGAAAGUGGGGGAUCUUCGGACCUCACGCUAUCAGAUGAGCCUAGGUCGGAUUAGCUAGUUGGUGGGGUAAAGGCCUACCAAGGCGACGAUCCGUAACUGGUCUGAGAGGAUGAUCAGUCACACUGGAACUGAGACACGGUCCAGACUCCUACGGGAGGCAGCAGUGGGGAAUAUUGGACAAUGGGCGAAAGCCUGAUCCAGCCAUGCCGCGUGUGUGAAGAAGGUCUUCGGAUUGUAAAGCACUUUAAGUUGGGAGGAAGGGCAGUAAGUUAAUACCUUGCUGCUUUGACGUUACCAACAGAAUAAGCACCGGCUAACUUCGUGCCAGCAGCGGC
rnacentral:rRNA from 1 species